rnacentral:rRNA from 1 species
UGGGGAAUAUUGCACAAUGGGCGCAAGCCUGAUGCAGCCAUGCCGCGUGUAUGAAGAAGGCCUUCGGGUUGUAAAGUACUUUCAGCGAGGAGGAAGGCGUUGUGGUUAAUAACCGCAGCGAUUGACGUUACUCGCAGAAGAAGCACCGGCUAACUCCGUGCCAGCAGCCGCGGUAAUACGGAGGGUGCAAGCGGUAAUCGGAAUUACUGGGCGUAAAGCGCACGCAGGCGGUCUGUCAAGUCGGAUGUGAAAUCCCCGGGCUCAACCUGGGAACUGCAUCCGAAACUGGCAGGCUAGAGUCUUGUAGAGGGGGGUAGAAUUCCAGGGGUAGCGGUGAAAUGCGUAGAGAUCUGGAGGAAUACCGGUGGCGAAGGCGGCCCCCUGGACAAAGACUGACGCUCAGGUGCGAAAGCGUGGGGAGCAAACA